UACGUAGGUGGCAAGCGUUGUCCGGAUUUAUUGGGUUUAAAGGGUGCGUAGGCGGUUUUGUAAGUCAGUGGUGAAAUACUCUAGCUUAACUAGAGGGGUGCCAAUGAUACUGCAGAACUUGAGUACAGAUGAGGUAGGCGGAAUUGACGGUGUAGCGGUGAAAUGCAUAGAUAUCGUCAAGAACACCUAUAGCGAAGGCAGCUUACUGGGCUGUAACUGACGCUGAGGCACGAAAGUGUGGGGAUCAAACAGG
rnacentral:rRNA from 2 species